UACGGGGGGGGCAAGCGUUGUUCGGAAUUACUGGGCGUAAAGCGCGCGUAGGCGGCUCUUCCAGUCAGGCGUGAAAGCCCCAGGCUUAACCUGGGAACUGCGUUUGAUACUGUUGAACUAGAGUGUGGAAGGGGCUACUGGAAUUCCUGGUGUAGCGGUGAAAUGCGCAGAUAUCAGGAAGAACACCAAUGGCGAAAGCAGCUCGCUGGGACGGUACUGACACUGAGACGCGAAAGCGUGGGGAGCGAACAGG
rnacentral:rRNA from 1 species